UGGGGGAAUUUUGGACAAUGGGCGAAAGCCUGAUCCAGCAAUGCCGCGUGUGUGAAGAAGGCCUUCGGGUUGUAAAGCACUUUUGUCCGGAAAGAAAUCCUUGGGCUCUAAAUACAGUCGGGGGAUGACGGUACCGGAAGAAUAAGCACCGGCUAACUACGUGCCAGCAGCCGCGGUAAUACGUAGGGUGCAAGCGUUAAUCGGAAUUACUGGGCGUAAAGCGUGCGCAGGCGGUUUGCUAAGACCGAUGUGAAAUCCCCGGGCUCAACCUGGGAACUGCAUUGGGUGACUGGGCAGGCUAGAGUAUGGCAGAGGGGGGUAGAAUUCCACGUGUAGCAGUGAAAUGCGUAGAGAUGUGGAGGAAUACCGAUGGCGAAGGCAGCCCCCUGGGCCAAUACUGACGCUCAC
rnacentral:rRNA from 1 species